UACGUAGGGGGCAAGCGUUGUUCGGAAUUACUGGGCGUAAAGGGCGCGUAGGCGGCACGGCAAGUCGGGAGUGAAAGCCCGGGGCUCAACCCCGGAGGGUCUUCCGAAACUGCCGAGCUAGAGUGCGGAAGAGGCAACCGGAAUUCCCAGUGUAGCGGUGAAAUGCGUAGAUAUUGGGAAGAACACCGGAGGCGAAGGCGGGUUGCUGGGCCGACACUGACGCUGAGGCGCGAAAGCCAGGGGAGCAAACAGG
rnacentral:rRNA from 1 species